UUUUAUGAGAGUUUGAUCCUGGCUCAGGACGAACGCUGGCGGCGUGCCUAAUACAUGCAAGUCGAACGCUUCUUUUUCCACCGGAGCUUGCUCCACCGGAAAAAGAGGAGUGGCGAACGGGUGAGUAACACGUGGGUAACCUGCCCAUCAGAAGGGGAUAACACUUGGAAACAGGUGCUAAUACCGUAUAACAAUCAAAACCGCAUGGUUUUGAUUUGAAAGGCGCUUUCGGGUGUCGCUGAUGGAUGGACCCGCGGUGCAUUAGCUAGUUGGUGAGGUAACGGCUCACCAAGGCCACGAUGCAUAGCCGACCUGAGAGGGUGAUCGGCCACAUUGGGACUGAGACACGGCCCAAACUCCUACGGGAGGCAGCAGUAGGGAAUCUUCGGCAAUGGACGAAAGUCUGACCGAGCAACGCCGCGUGAGUGAAGAAGGUUUUCGGAUCGUAAAACUCUGUUGUUAGAGAAGAACAAGGAUGAGAGUAACUGUUCAUCCCUUGACGGUAUCUAACCAGAAAGCCACGGCUAACUACGUGCCAGCAGCCGCGGUAAUACGUAGGUGGCAAGCGUUGUCCGGAUUUAUUGGGCGUAAAGCGAGCGCAGGCGGUUUCUUAAGUCUGAUGUGAAAGCCCCCGGCUCAACCGGGGAGGGUCAUUGGAAACUGGGAGACUUGAGUGCAGAAGAGGAGAGUGGAAUUCCAUGUGUAGCGGUGAAAUGCGUAGAUAUAUGGAGGAACACCAGUGGCGAAGGCGGCUCUCUGGUCUGUAACUGACGCUGAGGCUCGAAAGCGUGGGGAGCAAACAGGAUUAGAUACCCUGGUAGUCCACGCCGUAAACGA
rnacentral:rRNA from 1 species